rnacentral:lncRNA from 1 species
CCACUAUGCAACACACGCUGCAAUUCACUAUACAAAUAAACCGAACAAGAUUAGGCCGCUUAUCCUGCGAUAUGAAGAAUAUUGUCAGGAUUAUGACAUUCCUCAUGAUGUCCUCCAGGUUGCGAAAAGGCCACAACGACUGCCCCCGUGGCACGACUUCACGCAGUUAUGCUGACUGGACAUUAACAGAUCUGAAGAGACACCCCACACGAACACAUUCUACAAGAAUUCUGCGCUCUUAAGGAUAAAUAUCAAGAUUACAUGGAAUUUUACACUGAUGGCUCCAAAACAAAAGAACACGUGGGUGUGGGGGCCGUAACAAAAUAUUGGGAAGCAAGUAUUCGAUUACCAAAACAUGCCUCUGUUUUCAAUGCUGAAGUUUAUGCCAUAUGGGUUGUAGUUAAAAAGAUUAUCACUGACAGACACAAAAAUACAGUCAUCUACGCUGAUUCCUUAAGUACACUAAAUGCUCUUCAUCUGA